AUAGCAUUACUCCUCCUCAGCUCCUCUGCCCAACCCACUCACACAACACACUUCUCGGCACAUUUACUUCUUUAUUAAUUGACACACACUGACAUACAAGAAACAAAUCCCAAGAAACACAUUUUCACACUGCUGCUGAUUCAGAACAGAGAAAAAGGGAUAAUAAUCAAGAAAAUCCUACUGAUUUUCUUGAACCAUCGACAAAGAUACACUUCUUUCCAUUUCUACGGUCAGAUUUAGAUUGAAUUUUCUAAAACCCUUUUUCUAUUUCCAGACAUGUUCUUACAUAAUCUACAUUUCCGGGUAUUACUGGCACACCAGAUCCAUGAAUGAAUCCAAAAUUUGCAAAAACCAGAUGCUGUACCUCGUGCUUCAUUGCUUGUACAUUACAUUCUUCCCAGCCCCACCGCCAUUAUGAUUCUAUUACAUUAAACCAAGUUUAGCUCCAANU
rnacentral:lncRNA from 1 species